GAAUUCGUCAUACUCAAUGAAUGAAGUGACAACCACGUUUGAAAUCACUUGAACAUCGGCAAUGAGACAAUCAAGGUCUACUGCAUCUAAAGUUAAAAUUGUUUUUGAGACUUGUUAAAUGUUACAUUCUGUUAAUUUCGUUAAGUUAAUUGAAGGGUGCGCAAGUUUUAUUUAUCAUAUUUAAGUAUGCUUGAUUUCUACGUGAUUCACAUUGUUUCCUAUUAUAUCACCGCCAUGCUUCCUAAACGUGAUGAUUCAGUUGUGGGAGAUGUAACUUCAUGAAACAAGCUCUGGAGAUUUGCCAUGGUUGUGCGUCAACCUGUCUCAUGCUGUGAAGAAAAAUGUAGAGGAUUGCCUUUUUUGUUGGUGCUGGGAUGUUGGAUGACAGUUGUUUGCGGCUUGAUUUCCUGGACUUCAUUCUGUGGAGGCUUGUGUGACCGGAUGGUGGCUUUGCAGUUGAUGUGAUCGUGCGUCUUUCAGAUGAUGGUGUGCAGCUUUUGAUUCUACGAAGUAGAAAUUUUUGAGGUAAUUGAAAUUCCUGUGUCAAAAAAUCACUAUUCCGAUCGCCACGCCUCCUCCUCAAUCAAUGGGGAGGAAGGUGCCUAAAUUUCGAACGGGGAAAUUAUGGUCACGUAGGAAGCAACUGAGAUUGUAUUGAUCUUCAGGUUGUGCCUUAAACGGAGACGACAAUGUUUUACUUAACCGUAUUAUGCCGCCGCGGGAAAAUUAGGGAGGUUGCGGUGUGGUGCGAUCUGUCACUGGCUUUGCUAAGGCGGAUCUUCUCAGAAUUUCCUUUUGGUGUUGACCAGUGAAUAUUUGUCAUCUAGCUGGUUACCCUAGAACUGGGAGAUGAGACUGGAAAAUUGAAGGAGAUGUACAACAAAGGCACAAAGGUGUAGAGGUCUUCUGACGGAUAUCACAUGUCGGGCUCCAAUAAGAUGAGGUUGCUUGGGGUUUCCUGUGAGAUUUCUUUAUUAUGUGAAGGUUCUUUUUGGAUAUGUAGCCUGGCGGACUUUAUCAUAUCCAUUAGCCCAGGGUAUUGCUGCUGCAAUUUAGACAGAUUUCACAGUUCAGGUGCCAAGAAUUAAGAAUAAGAGGUUGCUUUGGAGUUUACUGUGCAUCUUCUGUAUGAUGUGAAGGUAUGUUUUGUACUCAUUCAAGCAGGGUUCUGUGUUGAUUUAAAGUGAUGACAUAAGAUUUCUGUGUCCAGGCCAAUGAUCAUUUAUGAUAUAAACUAUUUUGGUGACUACUGAUUUUUGUAUAUUGGAAAGACUAGUAGCCAUCUUCUGCACAAUAUCAACUGUUUCUAUUUGGGUGUUUGGUUGUUUUUGGGUAAUAGCCUGGUCGACUUCAACCCACAGGAGCUGCUGGACGAACAGGCUAGUAUGUUGCUGCUGCAAAUAUUCUGGUAUGUAUAGUUACAAUUUAUUCGUCGAUUUACCCAUGACGAUAUCAUAUUUCCAGAGAUACAAUGGUGGUACAAACUGAUUUAUUGAGACUGAGGAAACUACACUUGACAAAAUACGAGGAUUUUUGUGUAACGGGUUUUAAGCGAUGUUUUUACUUUUUUUCAGUCGGCCGUGCAUCUCUAGUACUACUGCUACUGCCAAAUUGCAAGCGAUAUCGUCUUUUUAAAGGCUAGAAACAGGAUGUCUCAGUGAUUCAACUCUCGGUUUUCUGGAAUCCCCUUUAUCCUUAGCAGGUCGUACCUAGCUGUCGUGACAUAGUUGGAAGUUAACGAUUAGGUCAAUACUUCGCAGCUUCAUCUGUCACUACCUUACAGCGUGACCUGCAUAUACGCGUGGAAUGCAUUCAGGUUGGUAGAAGUUUGUUGGUAUACCCCACUAAUUAAGCCGAUUGAUUAAGUCCUUAACUGGCUAUUCUUUGGUAUACGGUGGGAACAGUAAAUGCUAAUCCGUGUAAGGUCUUCUACCCAAUUGCUUGGUGGGUUAUUUAAGGGUUGAAUCAGCAAUAUUAUAAUAAUAAGCUUAUUGUUAUUUUUCGUAUUUUUGUUUAAAGUUCUUCGGAGAUUGAUAUUCUUUCUUGGGAUGUGGUCUGAGCCUGUGAGCCGCAAUCUAGUUCACGCUUGGAUACCAUUCCAUCGAUCUCUUGAAGUAAAACUUGAAAAUCACAUAAUUGACAUAGUUAA